rnacentral:rRNA from 1 species
AUGGCGUCAACAACCAUAUCGUCCUGCGCAUAUCAGGCAGUGCAAGGCGCCCACCGAUUGAAGAUCUGUCAGUUUAGUCACGGUAUUGUUGGCAUGGACGUCAAUGCUGAUGGUUUCAUCCGCUCCAGCACCUUCAGGGUUGGGGGAUUCGACUGGGCUAUCUUGUACUACCCAGAGGGUUAUGGCGACGACAGUGAGGGAUUCAUAUCAGUUUUUGUUGAGUUCAUGAGCAAGUAUGGGAAGGCGCCAGCGGUCGUCGACAUAAGACUGAUUGAUCAAGUCACUGGAAAGCCCAAAUCGUUAUUGUCAAGUGUAUUCUUUGAAGAGGAUGAGGAGCCAUUUCGAUUCAAAUCUGACAGCUUCGCAGAGGCUACCUGGGGUAAGGAGAGGUGUAUAAGAAGGGAGGCGUUGGAGGAUUCAGUGUAUGUCCGAGAUGACUGCCUUGUGAUCGAAUGUGUCAUCACUGUUUUAGGCCAAUUAAGGGUGUCUGAAACUAAACCAUUGUGUGAAAUUGAUGUGCCACCCCCUAACGCACUACAGCAUUUUCGCAAGAUGUUAGAGGAUACGUCCGCAGCAGAUGUGACCUUCGACGUUCAACAAGAAACAUUUGCUGCCCACAGGGCGGUGCUUGCUGCGCGGUCACCUGUCUUCCGGAAGCAGUUCAGCGAACCCAUGAAGGAGAAGAUGAGCCGCAUAACCAUCAACUCUGUGGAACCAGCGGUUUUCAAGGCUCUCCUCCAUUUCAUUUACACCGAUUCCUUGCCUGUGAUGGAUGAUUUCACUAGAGCUGAAAGCAAUGCUGUUUUCCAGCAUCUACUUGCAGCUGCGGAUCAAUAUGGUUUAGAGAGGUUGAAGCUUAUGUGUGCAGGCACCUUGGUUAUGAACCUUAAUGUGGAGAAUGUGGCUAGUGCACUAUGGCUAGCUGAUAAGUACAAUUGCCAGAAGCUUAAAGAAGCUUGUGUCAAUUUUAUGGCCCCUUCCAACAGAGUCGAUGCUGUGGUGGCAAGCCAAGGGUACCAGCUUCUGAAAAGAGGUUCUCCUUCUCCAUUAGCAGAUGUGUGGGAGAAGAGGAGCCGUGCUCGCCAAAGCUUUCUUUAG